rnacentral:rRNA from 1 species
GAGUUUGAUCCUGGCUCAGAUUGAACGCUGGCGGCAUGCCUUACACAUGCAAGUCGAACGGCAGCAUGAUCUAGCUUGCUAGAUUGAUGGCGAGUGGCGAACGGGUGAGUAAUACAUCGGAACGUGCCCUGUAGUGGGGAUAACUAGUCGAAAGAUUAGCUAAUACCGCAUACGACCUGAGGGUGAAAGUGGGGGACCGCAAGGCCUCGAUGCUAUAGGAGCGGCCGAUGUCUGAUUAGCUAGUUGGUGGGGUGAAGGCCCACCAAGGCGACGAUCAGUAGCUGGUCUGAGAGGACGAUCAGCCACACUGGGACUGAGACACGGCCCAGACUCCU